CCCGCACAAGCGGUGGAGCAUGUGGUUUAAUUCGACGCAACGCGAAGAACCUUACCUGGGCUUGACAUCCCGAUCGUACCUGCUGGAAACAGCGGGGUCAGUUCGGCUGGAUCGGAGACAGGUGCUGCAUGGCUGUCGCCAGCUCGUGUCGUGAGAUGUUGGGUUAAGUCCCGCAACGAGCGCAACCCUUGUCCUUAGUUGCCAUCAUUUAGUUGGGCACUCUAAGGAGACUGCCGGUGUUAAACCGGAGGAAGGUGGGGAUGACGUCAAGUCCUCAUGGCCCUUAUGUCCAGGGCUACACACGUGCUACAAUGGCCGGUACAAAGGGCAGCAAAGCCGCGAGGUGGAGCCAAUCCCAGAAAGCCGGUCUCAGUUCGGAUUGGAGUCUGCAACUCGACUCCAUGAAGUUGGAAUCGCUAGUAAUCGCGGAUCAGCAUGCCGCGGUGAAUACGUUCCCGGGCUUU
rnacentral:rRNA from 1 species